GUGAGCUACCAGCCAUAAGCUCUGGUCCACACGGCUUUCUUCUUGAACUCGGUGGACGACUUCAGACCCAGGAGAGCAGCUGGAACCAGGAAGGUCCAACUGAUGUUCUUUUAGGUGAUUCCCAUGGAAACCUGACAUGUUCGCAUACACCUCAGAAAGCAUGUAGUUGCGCCCCUGGCUAAAGAGAGAUGCACCCCUCUGGUGAGGUAUGAGGAGAAUAAGUGGUAAACAGUGUAAUGAAUACUGGAGAUUAGUCAUAUGGACUUCAUUUCAACCUUUAAAGAAGGGUCAGCCAGCACGACGAUGGUGGUCGCUCCAUAGCCGAUGUUCCGGAUGUGUCCCAUCAGCUCCAGCAGCCACUCCAUGCGCUUGGAGACGCCUGUAGGGAGAAGCAGUGAUGCUCAAUACGCAGACUUAGACAGCAGAGCCACGGUUACUAGCAGAGCUGCACUCUGACCUGUACUGGUGCCAGCAGUCAGCCGGCACUGGUAAAAGGCCUGCAAGAGGAUCCAGCCCAGUCUGCAGCUUGACCAACCAGAGAGCACGCCAGUGAUGACAUCAUUGAGGCUGAGCAGCGGGAGUCUGCCCUGAGAGGAAAGGAAUAACCAACACUGAGGCUGUGGACGAGUGGUGGGGACAGCCAGGACCCCAGGAAGAGGGACGCACUCUGGGAGGACUGGGC